rnacentral:lncRNA from 1 species
GCUGAAAAUGGUGAUAAUGAAAAGAUGGCUGCCCUGGAGGUCAAAAUCUGUCAUCAAAAUGAGGUUGAACCGUCUAACAGACUUUAAUGUAACUGUGGAAGCAUUGAGCAAAUCCAAGGCAGAACUCAUGGAAAUCAGUGAAGAUAAAACUAAAAUCAGAAGGUCUCCAAGCACAGCCCUACCUGAAGUGACUGAUGAGUAUAAAAAUGAUGUAAAAAACAGAUCUGUUUAUAUUAAAGACUUCCCAACUGAUGCAACUCUUGAAGACAUAAAAAAAUGGUUAGAAGAUAAAGGUCAAGUACUAUAUAUUUAGAUGAGAAGAACAUUGCAUAAAGCAUUUAAGGGAUCAAUUUUUGUUGUGUUUGAUAGCAUUGAAUCUGCUAAGAAGUUUGUAGAGACCCCUGGCCAGAAGUACAAAGAAAUAUACCUGCUAAUACUUUUCAAGGAUGAUUACUUUGCCAAAAAAAAAAAAUGAAGAAAGAAAAUAAAAUAAAAUGGAAGCUAAAUUAGGAGCUAAACAGGAGCAAGAAGCAAAAUAAAAGUUAGAAGAUGCUGAAAAGAAAUCUCUAGAAGAAAAGAUUGGAUGCUUGUUGAAAUUUUCGGGUGAUUUACACAUACUUUUCUCAAGUCAUGGUGAAAUAAAAUGGAUAGACUUCGUCAGAGGAGCAAAAGAGGGAAUAAUUCUAAUUAAAGAAAAAGCCAAGGAAGCACUGGGUAAAGCCAAAGAUGCAAAUAAUGGUAACCUACAAUUAAGGAACAAAGAAGUGACUUGGGAAGCACUAGAAGGAGAGGUGGAAAAAGAAGCACUGAAAAAAAUAAUAGAAGACUAACAAGAAUCCGUAAACAAAUGGAAGUCAAAAGGUCGUAGAUUUAAAGGAAAAGGAAAGGGUAAUAAAGCUGCCCAGCCUGGGUCUGAUAAAGGAAAAGUACAGUUUCAGGGCAAGAAAGCGAAAUUUGCUAGUGAUGAUGAACAUGAUGAAAAUGGUGCAACUGGAGCUGUGAAAAGAGCAAGAGAAAAAACAGACAAAGAAGAACCUGCAUCCCAACAAGAGAAAACAGAAAAUGGUGCUAGAGACC